GCGCCCAUAGCUCAAUUGGAUAGAGUGCCAGCCUACGAAGCUGUAGGUUCCCCGUUCGAGCCGGGGUGGGCGCGCCA
rnacentral:tRNA from 1 species